UACGGAGGGGGCUAGCGUUGUUCGGAAUUACUGGGCGUAAAGCGCACGUAGGCGGUUCGUUAUGUCGGAUGUGAAAGCCCUUGGCUUAACCGAGGAAGUGCAUCCGAAACUGGCGAGCUAGAGUACUAAAGAGGAUCGCGGAAUUCCCGGUGUAGAGGUGAAAUUCGUAGAUAUCGGGAGGAACACCGGUGGCGAAGGCGGCGAUCUGGGUAGAUACUGACGCUGAGGUGCGAAAGCGUGGGGAGCAAACAGG
rnacentral:rRNA from 1 species